rnacentral:rRNA from 1 species
AUUGAACGCUGGCGGAAUGCUUUACACAUGCAAGUCGAACGGCAGCACGGGGCAACCUGGUGGCGAGUGGCGAACGGGUGAGUAAUAUAUCGGAACGUGCCCAGUCGUGGGGGAUAACGCAGCGAAAGCUGUGCUAAUACCGCAUACGAUCUAUGGAUGAAAGCAGGGGAUCGCAAGACCUUGCGCUGAUUGAGCGGCCGAUGUCAGAUUAGCUAGUUGGUGAGGUAAAGGCUCACCAAGGCGACGAUCUGUAGCGGGUCUGAGAGGAUGAUCCGCCACACUGGAACUGAGACACGGUCCAGACUCCUACGGGAGGCAGCAGUGGGGAAUUUUGGACAAUGGGGGCAACCCUGAUCCAGCCAUGCCGCGUGAGUGAAGAAGGCCUUCGGGUUGUAAAGCUCUUUCGGUCCGGGAAGAAAUCGCAUGGGUUAAUACCCUGUGCGGAUGACGGUACCGGCAUAAGAAGCACCGGCUAACUACGUGCCG